rnacentral:rRNA from 1 species
GUCAGAGUUUGAUCCUGGCUCAGGACGAACGCUGGCGGCGUGCUUAACACAUGCAAGUCGAACGGAAAGGCCCUUCGGGGUACUCGAGUGGCGAACGGGUGAGUAACACGUGGGUGAUCUGCCCUGCACUUUGGGAUAAGCCUGGGAAACUGGGUCUAAUACCGGAUAGGACCACGCGCUUCAUGGUGUGUGGUGGAAAGCUUUUGCGGUGUGGGAUGGGCCCGCGGCCUAUCAGCUUGUUGGUGGGGUAAUGGCCUACCAAGGCGACGACGGGUAGCCGGCCUGAGAGGGUGACCGGCCACACUGGGACUGAGAUACGGCCCAGACUCCUACGGGAGGCAGCAGUGGGGAAUAUUGCACAAUGGGCGCAAGCCUGAUGCAGCGACGCCGCGUGAGGGAUGACGGCCUUCGGGUUGUAAACCUCUUUCAAUAGGGACGAAGCGCAAGUGACGGUACCUAUAGAAGAAGGACCGGCCAACUACGUGCCAGCAGCCGCGGUAAUACGUAGGGUCCGAGCGUUGUCCGGAAUUACUGGGCGUAAAGAGCUCGUAGGUGGUUUGUCGCGUUGUUCGUGAAAACUCACAGCUUAACUGUGGGCGUGCGGGCGAUACGGGCAGACUAGAGUACUGCAGGGGAGACUGGAAUUCCUGGUGUAGCGGUGGAAUGCGCAGAUAUCAGGAGGAACACCGGUGGCGAAGGCGGGUCUCUGGGCAGUAACUGACGCUGAGGAGCGAAAGCGUGGGGAGCGAACAGGAUUAGAUACCCUGGUAGUCCACGCCGUAAACGGUGGGUACUAGGUGUGGGUUUCCUUCCUUGGGAUCCGUGCCGUAGCUAACGCAUUAAGUACCCCGCCUGGGGAGUACGGCCGCAAGGCUAAAACUCAAAGGAAUUGACGGGGGCCCGCACAAGCGGCGGAGCAUGUGGAUUAAUUCGAUGCAACGCGAAGAACCUUACCUGGGUUUGACAUGCACAGGACGCCAGUAGAGAUAUUGGUUCCCUUGUGGCCUGUGUGCAGGUGGUGCAUGGCUGUCGUCAGCUCGUGUCGUGAGAUGUUGGGUUAAGUCCCGCAACGAGCGCAACCCUUGUCUCAUGUUGCCAGCACGUUAUGGUGGGGACUCGUGAGAGACUGCCGGGGUCAACUCGGAGGAAGGUGGGGAUGACGUCAAGUCAUCAUGCCCCUUAUGUCCAGGGCUUCACACAUGCUACAAUGGCCGGUACAAAGGGCUGCGAUGCCGUGAGGUGGAGCGAAUCCUUUCAAAGCCGGUCUCAGUUCGGAUCGGGGUCUGCAACUCGACCCCGUGAAGUCGGAGUCGCUAGUAAUCGCAGAUCAGCAACGCUGCGGUGAAUACGUUCCCGGGCCUUGUACACACCGCCCGUCACGUCAUGAAAGUCGGUAACACCCGAAGCCGGUGGCCUAACCCUUGUGGAGGGAGCCGUCGAAGGUGGGAUCGGCGAUUGGGACGAAGUCGUAACAAGGUAGCCGUA